rnacentral:rRNA from 1 species
UACGUAGGGGGCAAGCGUUAUCCGGAUUUACUGGGUGUAAAGGGAGCGUAGACGGCAGUGCAAGUCCGAUGUGAAAACCCGGGGCUUAACCCCGGGAGUGCAUUGGAAACUGCGCAGCUGGAGUGCAGGAGAGGUAAGCGGAAUUCCUGGUGUAGCGGUGAAAUGCGUAGAUAUCAGGAGGAACACCAGUGGCGAAGGCGGCUUACUGGACUGUAACUGACGCUGAGGCUCGAAAGCGUGGGGAGCAA